rnacentral:rRNA from 1 species
UGACCCGUCUUGAAACACGGACCAAGGAGUCUAAUUAGGCAUCGAGUCGAUCGGUCUUGAAUAGGCCAGACUGGGAUUUCGGUCCCGACUGAAGGCGUAGAGAAAUCAAAUCAUGUGAUCACUGGAGCAACAUCAGCUCUUGUGCGCAACAUGUGCCUGUUCGUAUAGCAAUGUUAGCAAUAACUUGCUGGGCGGAGCAAAGAGAUGCUUGAUUGGUACCCGAAAGAUGGUGAACUAUGCUUGGGCAAAUUGAAGCCAGAGGAAACUCUGGUGGAGGAUUGUAGCGAUUCUGACGUGCAAAUCGAUCGUCAGACCUGAGUAUAGGGGCGAAAGACUAAUCGAACCAUCUAGUAGCU